UGAUGCUUGAACAUGACAGACGCAUCUCUGCAGCUGCUGUGUCCGUGAGAUGAAGGCCUUAUCGAUGACUUCAGCUCUGCAUGCAGAUAUUUAGAAAAAAUAGUUGAUAAAGGCAAUUGAUAACAGCCACCUAAUUUUCUCUUUGGAGAAAAUUAAAGUGUUUUGUGAUGACCUCUUUCUUCCUGUUUGGCUAAUUCUGCUGUGGCUUCAAAACAGAAUAGACUGCAUCUGUAAACAUUGUUUCCCCUGUUGCUGUUAGGAUUUGGAAACUGAUGCUCCAAAUGAUGGUGCUUUGACAUGCUGAGUACUUUGAACUGAAGAAACAACC
rnacentral:lncRNA from 13 species